UAGCGAAGGGGGCUAGCGUUGUUCGGAAUUACUGGGCGUAAAGCGUGCGCAGGCGGCUUCGUCAAGUCAGGGGUGAAAGCCCCAGAGCUCAACUCUGGAAUUGCCGUUUGAGACUGAGUUGGCUUGAGUACGAGAGAGGUGAGUGGAAUUCCCAGUGUAGAGGUAGAAAUUCGUAGAUAUCGGGAGGAACACCGGUGGCGAAGGCGGCGAUCUGGGUCGAUACUGACGCUGAGGUGCGAAAGCGUGGGGAGCAAACAGG
rnacentral:rRNA from 1 species